CCAUCCAGAAAUGGUGAGGGAACCUCCUGCCACCCACGACUAAGAUGGAAUUUGCAGGAUGGUUGUGCAAUAGUGUGGAAUGGAGUUAUCUGGUCCUUGCUUUUAGGGUUUGCUGGUGGGUUGCUGCUUUAGGUUUGUGUUUGGAUUUGGUUUGGUUAGCUUUGAUAGCACAAGCCAGAUUGCACAUAGUAGUAAUAAAAUUAUAACACAUAUAAAACGAAAAUAAAGGAUUAAAUAAUAGAUAAUUCCACUCACGUUCCGGGUGUCUUGUAAAUGAGGUAUUUCUCCUUUAAGACCGGAGGGAAACCCACCCAGGGAUUGGUUAUUGUCCAGUAGGUCGCAGAAGCAGGAAAUAUACUGUGCGAUGUGGGAGUAUCUGGUCCUUGCGGAAGGGUUAGCUGGUGGGUUGCUGAUCUGGGGCUGCCUUGGGGAUAACUUGACGUCCUGGCCCUUGGUGGCACAGUGUGUUAAAGCACUGAGCUGCUGAAGUUGCGGACCAAAAGGUCCCAGGUUCAAAUCCCGGGAGCGGAAUGAGCGCCAGCUGUUAGCCCCAGCUCCUGCCAACCUAGCAGUUCGAAAACAUGCCAAUGUGAGUACAUCAAUAGGUACCGCUCUGGCGGGAAGGUAACGGCGCUCCAUGCAGUCAUGCCGGCCACAUGACCUGGAGAUGUCUAUGGACAACUCCGGCUCUUUGGCUUAGAAAUGGAGAUGAGCACCAACCCCCAGAGUCGGUCACGACUGGACUUAACGUCAGUGGAAACCUUUACCUUUUACCUGGGGAUAACUUGACGUCCUGGCCCAGGCCCACUAUCUAAUCCUCUGAAGGCGGCAGGUGGCCCACAAGCCAGAUUGCACAUAAAGUUCAGCAAUACUGUGGUUCGGGGAAAACAAGUUUCUUGCAUCCAAGGGGAAAACGGUGAAGAAACAGCCAGCCACGGAAUUGUACAGGAUGGUUGUGCAAUAGUGCGGCCUAGAGUUAUCUGGUCCUUCCUGAAGGGUUGCUGCUGGUUUGGUUUUGGUUUGGUUUGGUUUGUGUGAGGGAGGAGUAUCUGGUCCUUGCGGAAGGGUUGGGCCCAUGCCCUUUCCGCACAACCACCUGUAAUGAAGUAUGAAUUUUGGUUUAAUUGUGUGUUUAUGUUUUAAAAGGGUAAGUAUUACAGUUAUUGCAUCUCAGCACUCAGAGGCUGGUUGCCAUGGGAAAGUAGGCGGAGCCAUCUGCCGUUUAGUUGAAGAAAGUGCAGAGUUUAAAAAAGAAAGUCAGCCUGUGCUCUGAUGAGGCACAGGGAAGAUUGAUUCUAGUUUGAUGGGAUCAAGGAGACUCAAUUGUUCAUUUUGAGUCGGUUUUAAAUAAGUUUGGUGACUUAUUUAAUGUAGUCUGUGUCCUGGAAAGGCACAGAGAAUCUGUGAUAGUAUAUCACAGGGGUGACUGUGGUUUGAAGUCACUGGAUAGUCCAAGUUUCAGACUUUGGGAACCAAUCCCAGCUGGACUCACAGAAAUCCAUUGAAGUAACAGUUAGAAAGGAGCAAAGGAAUAGGUUUUAACUACUUUAAGUAAAAGAAGUGACACUUUAGAGAGUUUGAUUCAUCUGAUUCUAGUAUUCCUUCAGGGGAGAUGGAGGCGGGAAAUAAAUAAACUUAUUGUUGUUGUUGUUGUUGUUGUUGUUAAUCUGCAAUGGUGGAACUGGGAUACACUGUUCCAUGUUUGUUUCUGUAUUGCUUUAAUUGGACCAAUCCUCGUGUGGGAUCCUGGCCAGUCUCUUUUCAUAGAAUCAUAGAAUCAUAGAAUAGUAGAGUUGGAAGAGACCUCAUGGGCCAUCCAGUCCAACCCGCUGCUAAGAAGCAGGAAAUCGCAUUCAAAGCACCCCCGACAGAUGGCCAUCCAGCCUCUGCUUCAAAGCCUCCAAAGAAGGAGCCUCCACCACAGUCCGGGGGAGAGAAAGAGUUCCACUGCCGAACAGCCCUUCUCACGGUGAGGAAGUUCUUCCUGAUGUUCAGGUGGAAUCUCCUUUCCUGUAGUUUGAAGCCAUUGUUCCCUUGCGUCCUAGUCUGCAGGGCAGCAGAAAACAAGCUCCCUCCCUCCUCCCUAUGACUUCCCUUCACGUAUUUGUACAUGGCUCUCAUGUCUCCUCUCAGCCUUCUCUUCUGCAGGCUAAACAUGCCCAGCUCUUUAAGCCGCUCCUCAUAGGGCUUGUUCUCCAGACCCUUAAUCAUUUUAGUCGCCCUCCUCUGGACGCUUUCCAGCUUGUCAACCUCUCCCUUCAACUGUGGUGCCCAAAAUUGGACACAGUGUGAUUCCAGGUGUGGUCUGACCAAGGCAGAAUAGAAUAAGGGGGAGCAGGACUUCCCUGGAUCUAGACGCUAUUCCCCUAUUGAUGCAGGACAGGAUCCCACUGGCUUUCUUAGCAGCCGCAUCACAUUGUUGGCUCAUGUUUAACUUGUUGUUCACGAGGACUCCUGUCAGAGUAAUGCACGCAGUGUAGCAGCAGAAGUAUGAUGUCAGUUGAAGCGCAGAACGAAGGAACGUCAAAGACAAUGUUAGAAAGUAUUUACAAAGUUUUACUUGACAAGACAAACAGACUUGCAGACAAUGGACAUAAGACUUUCGCUCUAGACAAACAGCACAGAUCUCAUCUGAUGCAAUCAGCAAUAUACAAACACACUUGAGUCUGGACACUCCUAUCUGGCUCCAGCCCCACAUCCAAGGUCAAUACAGCUUCUUACCAAUUAACUCUUUACAGACUAUAGCAUACUCUGGAUGAUGCAACCUGUAUGCAAUACAUGCCAGACACAAAUUUCAUUUAAACACUACCAAUACACAAAUCCCACAUUAACAACUCCAAGGUCUUUUUCACAUAUACUGCUGUCGAGCCAGGCAUCGUCCCGCAUUCUGUAUCUUUGAUUUCCAUUUUUUCUGCCGAAGUGAAGUAUCUUGCAUUUGUCCCUGUUGAAGUUCAUUUUGUUAGUUUCGGCCCAUCUCUCUAGUCUGUCAGGAUCGUUUUGGAUUCUGCUCCUGUCUUCUGGAGUGUUGGCUCUCCCUCCCAGUUUUGUGUCGUCUGCAAACUUGAUGAUCGUGCCUUCUGACCCUUCGUCUAAGUCAUUAAUGAAGAUCCUGAACAGAACCGGGCCCAGGACGGAGCCCUGCUUGUGGCACUCAACUCGUGACUUCUUUCCAAGAUGAAGCCGACGCAUUGGUGAGAAUCACCCUUUGGGUUCGUUCGCUUAGCCAAUUACAGAUCCACCUAACCGUAGUUUUGUCUAGCCCACAUUUUACUAGUUUGUUUGCCAGAAGGUCGUGGGGGACUUUGUCGAAGGCCUUACUGAAAUCCAGGUACGCUACAUCCACAGCAUUCCCUGUAUCAACCCAACUCGUAACUCUAUCGAAAAAAGAGAUCAGAUGAGUCUGGCAUGACUUGUUUUUGGUAAAUCCGUGUUGACUGUUAGCAAUGACCGCAUUUGUUUCUAAGUGUUCGCAGACCACUUCCUUAAUGAUCUUUUCCAGAAUCUUGCCUGGUAUUGAUGUGAGGCUGACCGGACGGUAAUUGUUUGGGUCGUUCUUUUUUCCCUUCUUGAAGAUAGGGACCACAUUCGCCCUCCUCCAAUUAUGUUUGUAAUUUUGGAACAGAAAGCUCGCAAGCAUCACAUCUUGGAAGAUGGAAAUAAAACGCCUCUGUCCUAUGUCUUCGCUUUGCUGGUGAGUUUUAAUCUGGAACUUUGGGUUUAUUAUUAUUUAUGGUUGGUUAGCUCAGGCUGUUCCCUCUCAAUUGAUUACAGUCUAAAUUCCAUAUCAUUUCCCCCAGUUCUUGGAUGAGAAGCCUACUUCCUUGUGCCAUUCAUCAUGGAUCCUGUUGACAUCUAUUAGUUGUCUCACCCAUGUUUCCAGCCACAAAGGCCACUUCACAAGGCCGGCUUUGUGCUUCAUUCCCUGCUGAGCAUCAGGGUUUUGGUUGCCCAGUUUCUCUUGGGAGGGGAUAUAAAGGAAGGAGGUGGGCAGAGCUGGAGCUUCACUGGGUCCUGCCUCGCCAUGAAGUCCUCAACUUGCUUCAUCCUCCUCCUCGCUCUCCUGGCCCUCUCUGCCGUGACGCACGCUGCCUUUGGGAAUGGUGAGUGGCACCUUGGGAACCCCUUGAAGGCACCUCUGGUCCCAUUCCAGAUCAGGCCUUGCUUCUCAUACAUGCCUGCUUUGGGCUGGCCUUCUUCAUCCGACUCCUCUGGUUCCUCCAGCCUAGAGACCAGACCAGAGCAUGGCAGGAUGGGCCAGGUCAUGAUGGUCAAGAGGGUCCACUGGCUCUCAUCCUCCUGGGCAUCAGGAGUAGUUGCCCUUUUGCUUCCUGCCAAAGCCAUCCCACCCACUGACGCCUGUCGACUACAGCGCUUGGCUGGCUCAAAAAUCUGUCCAACUUGAAGACAGAAGGACUUUCUCUAAAAGGCACAGCACAGGGCACUAUGGCCUUGCCUUGUCAGAACCAGGUGCUAGUAGAAUACAACAUGCAUGGGCUUUGUGUUAAAACUUUUAAAUGAGCUUCAUUGGCUCAGUUGUCCUUUUUGUGGUCUUUCCUCCAUUUAGUCUACAGUCAACAUGUUUCUGGUCCACCUGAUAACGGCCUCGUCCCCCAAACAGUCCUUUCUCCCAGAUACAUCUUCCUUCUCCCAAAGGUGCCUCCUUCUUGUGGGAAAGUCCCCUGCUCACGAGCUGGCUGGUGUCUCACUCAAAGUAGGCUCAAGAGAAGCCCGGGAAUUGCCCACAGGUAAAACCAGGCACGCUUGUAGACUGCAGCGCACAGUGCAACUCUGAUGUUGGGUGCCCUGGGAACAAGAAGUGUUGCUACUCUUACUUCUGCAAAAUCUGCCUGGAUCCUGAGAAGGUCUGACCUUGGAGGAGGCCUGGAUCCAUGGACAGCGACCACCAGAGAAGUCUGUCUGAAGCUCUUCUGCCCAUCUCUGCUGCUCCACCCAAGUCCACAUCCCACCCUGCUCCAUCCCCACUUGCCCCAUGGAUGACGGUCCCAAUUCUGCUUUGCUAACCCCCUUCCACUAACAAUAAAUGCACCAGCCUCCUCGA